AUACCAUAGUGAUAUAAUUCAAUUACAGGUCUUUGUCAUAUGGUAUGUCAUGUCCAGUUGAGUGGUGGAAAAUCCACUGCCGGGGUUUGUUCUCUCCGAACUAACUGUUGUGGAACAGAUGUGGGAAGUGUCUGGUGCAGAAAGUUCCUCCUACAGGUAACUCAUAACAGUUCCUUUCUUUCCAACCCGAUGUGCCCUCCAGUGGGUAGAACCUGAUCACGGUCUUCAGUAAAUCCAAGUUCUCCUGUAAGUAAAGGGAAGAUAUUGACAACGUGUUCCUUGUUCUUCUCGGCAAUGUCAGUGACACCGAUGGCGGACACGGACUGUAAUCACGCAAGGAGCACAAGUUCCACCCGUGAGCAUUUGGCAGUCCAGGUUUCACCACCAACAUCAUUCUCUCGUCGGGUUUCCCUAUAGAACAGCGGCUGCUUUGGAGCACGGCUUUUUUUAUCCUCAGAAAACGUACUCUCAGGUAAAAAAAAAUUCAAUGGCUGCCCAAUUUCUGGAAGAUCGUACAUCUACCAUCUCUGAUUUGCACCAGACUGCUGCUCACGGACAGAAGAGAUGGACUUCAACCAUCAAUAGCCCGUAUCCUAUCAAGCGUCUUUGGAGGGAAGGUGGUAUCACAUCACCAAGGAGCAGCUUGAGGUGCUCAGUUUGUCAUAUGACCGUCAGACAAAUGGCAGAUGCUCUCAAUGUGUCGCACUCUGUGGUCAAGAAUAAAGCAAUUGUAACACAAGAGGGAGAUCUCUACAUCCUCUCUAGAUUUGACCACAUUACUGAUUGAUGUAUCUUUUUUUGUGUUGAGUCAUUUUCAGCUUUUCAGGUCCUACUCACUGUUGUCAGACGCUCAGCUGGAUGAGAGGAUCAAAGGGCUGAUAUCAAUAAAAACAGAAUGGCGUCCCUAUAAGAGACCCCAAAAAAGUUUUUGUAAAACAAACAUAUCUUGUUUUUUAGGUGGAGGAUUGUUAUCCAUGGUGCUGUGGAUGGUUACAUCAGACUUGUUGGGUUUCUGAAGGCCUCUGACAACAACAGGAGUGCCACAGUCGUGGAUGUCAUUCGAAGCAGCCAUCACCAGCUACGGAGUACCAUCCCGGGUGAGAUGUGACCCGGGUGGUGAAAACAACCGUAUCUGUGCCUUCAUGGAGCAAUUCAGGGGUGGUGAGAGGGGAAGUGCCCUCAGAGGAAGGAGCACACAACCAGAGGAUAGAGUGGCUGUGGGGGGGACGUCUGGCAUGGAGUCUCCAACGUUUACCAUGACCUGUUCACCUUCUUGGAGACGGAGCAGAUCAUCGACAUCAACAAUGGGGUGGACCUGUGGGCACUGCACUUUGUGUUCCUGCCACGGAUGAACAGAGAUAUUGCUGUGUUUGCCAGUCAGGGGACCCACCAUGGGCUGAGGACUGAACAACGGCAGUCACCUCUGCAGUUGUUCGUCUCGGGCUCCCUGGCAAUGCAGAGGGCCAAUCUCACAGCUGUAAGGGAUUUGUUCGCCCCAAAUUCAACCACCAUCAGCUCUCAAGCCACCACCUCAGCUCCUCCUCCAACAACCAUCACCUCAGCUCCUCCUCCAACAACCAUCACCUCAGCUCCUCCUCCAACAACCACCACCUCAGCUCCUCCUCCAACAACCACCACCUCAGCUCCUCCUCCAACAACCACCACCUCAGCUCCUCCUCCAACAACCACCACCUCAGCUCCUCCUCCAACCACCACCUCAGCUCCUCCUCCAACAACCAUCACCUCAGCUCCUCCUCCAACAACCAUCACCUCAGCUCCUCCUCCAACAACCAUCACCUCAGCUCCUC